rnacentral:misc_RNA from 1 species
CCUAGGUUCAAUCCUCUUGUU